rnacentral:rRNA from 1 species
AGUGAACGCUGGCGGUAGGCCUAACACAUGCAAGUCGAACGGCAGCACAGUAAGAGCUUGCUCUUACGGGUGUCGAGUGUGGGACGGGGGAGGAAUACAUCGGAAUCUACUUUUUCGGGGGGGAUAACGUAGGGAAACGUACUCGAAUACCGCAUACGACCUACGGGUGAAAGCAGGGGAUCUUCGGACCUUGCGCGAGUGAAUGAGCCGAUGUUGGAUUAGCUAGUUGGCGGGGUAAAGGGGCACCAAGGCGACGAUGCGUAGCUGGUCUGAGAGGAAGGUUCGCCAGCCUGGCACUGAGGCACGGUCCCGACUCCUACGGGAGGACGCAGUGGGGACUCUUGGACGAUGGGGCAAAGCCUGAUCCUGCCAUACCGGCUGGGUCAAGAAGGACCUCGGGCUGUUAAGCCCUUUUGUUGGGAAAGAAAAGCAGCAGGUUUAUACCCCGCUGUUCUGACGGUACCCAAAGAAUAAGCACCGGCUAACUUCGUG